rnacentral:miRNA from 1 species
UUGGAUUUCAGUUCCCUCAUC